rnacentral:snRNA from 1 species
AGAUAUGAAGGUGAUCUGGCUGAGACAUCUGUCACCCAUUGAUCUCCAGGGUUGAUUUGACUUAUCUGGCUGGCUAGGCGGGUGUCCCCUUUUUCCCUCACUGCUCCAUGUGCGUCCCUCCCGAAGCUGUGCAGUCAGCUGGUGGAAGAAGAUGGCCUUCCCCUAAUAGAGACGGACCAGUCUUCGGUCAGGGGUAUAUGAGUAGCUGCCUUCUUCUGCUAGAACCUCCAAAGGAGCUCUCAAGAAUUGGGAAGCUUCCAAUGGAGGGGAUGAAAUGCAGAACUCUUGUUGGUGGGAAUUGUGUAGACUUGCACCCCACU